rnacentral:lncRNA from 1 species
GGCGUAGAAGAGGAAAGGCUGGGGGUUUCGGAUGGUUGUUUUUGAAGCCAUCAGUAUUCUUGAAGAAGCAGCAUAUCUUGAACUGUCCUAUGGGUGAAGGCUUUGAUGUGGUCCUGUAAAAACUGGGAAGAUUUGGAGGAUCAUCUGAAUACCCAUCCAACAGAGAUCCAUGAUUCAUGUAUUUCUCAAGACAGCCAUACACUAAAAUUAUAAGAUCAUAAGAAUAUUAAUUAUAUUCUACCAAUGCAAUACAAGCAUUGAAAUGGAUGGCAUCUGAUCCUGCUUCAUGUGAUUCUUCAUUUAGCUCUGGACUCUUUACAUCAUUAAGGUACCCUGAAUAUAUUCAGUAUGGCUUUUUCUUUGCAGGAAUUUAAAAGCAACCCUAUGAAUAUAACAUUUGUCAAAAAGAGCAAGUGCCAAGCCAGUUGAGAAUAACCUUACAAUGUGUACAAGGAUUCCAGCUUAUGCAACAUGAAAAUGGCAAGGAUGAAGACCUUUAUGAUGAUCCAUUUCCAUUUAAUGAAUAGAAGAAGUGUUAUCAAUUCUGUUGAUGGACCCCUUAAUCUCUUCUACUGAUUAUCUUCUACUUGAACCAGUGCCAAAUUAAUGUUGCAAGCUUUGUCUUGAAAUAUAAACAUGCACUAACCAGUGGAAAAGCUUGCCUAAGUGAUUGUUGUCAUAAUGACACGGAUUCAAUGAAUAAUUCUAUUCAUGGAAUUUCAUCAGCUUAAUAAGGAAAGAGUAAACAAAACAUCACUAUAACUGUGUACAAAGUUGGAAUGUUUGCAUUUAUCAGCAAGUACUAAUUUAUUGAAGGUCCAUUAUAAACAGCCCUUUUUUAUGUAAUGUAAAAGUCUUAAUGUAAAGACACUUACAUUAAUAUUACAACUAGUUUUAAAUUAU